rnacentral:lncRNA from 1 species
AAUUAGUCCUCACGUUUUAGGCUUUAGCAUCUCUAGGAGGCCACAAACAGAAGGUAGGAGUAAACACGAUUUGAUUUGGAUGAUUUUAAACAAUUUUAAAAUCAUAUCGUUCUAUUUUUCUAACUAAACUUGCUAAUGCUGGCAUGGCAUAAUGCUAUGUUCAUUACAAAUGUCACAUUAUUUUCAUUACCAUUUUAUUAUCGGUAGCUAUUACCUGAUUUAGACCAAUAAUAAUGUUAUUCUAAUGUAUGCAAGCUUAUUACUCGUCAUGAUAUAUGAUCAUAUAGCCUGAUGGGCUCUCCACAAAUUACAAUUUAAAAAAGUUUGAUCUGUUAUUAUUUCACUUUUCGUCAUGAGAAUUUGAAGAGGUAGACGGGGCCCUAUUUAUUUUGUAUAUGUGUAGUGAAGAUAUUGUGUUGUAUUUCAGGUUGGUUUAGUCCACAUUACAAAUAGAUGUUGUCGAAAUUUUGUUGCAUCUUGGAAUGUAAGCAACGUAAUUUAUAAGCCCUCAUCAAUUUGAAGUCGACUAUAUUUCUAAGACCAUUCGUAAGCUCAUACUUGUUAGGGAUGGGCUCGUAUAUUAGAAGCAAUUCCUAAAUCCUCACUUAUUUAGGAUCUACUCAUAUUCAUAAGGCAAUUGGUAAGUCAUCGUCUAAUUGAAGAUAACUUGCAUUUUUGACCCACACCUAAAUGUACACCUCAAAUAUGGUAAACUAUUGGGAUAUCAAUAAAUUACAUGGCAUGCAUGUGACAAAGAGAGGCUAACAUUAGUUGACUAGGCCUCAACAAUGUAAAUUGGAUACAGUCGAGUAAACCUAAGUAACCUCUUCUCGGGCUUGAGCCCGAUCCCUAACCCAUUUGGCCCUCUCUCUCUCUCUCUCUAUGCGCGCAUCUGGACUUGAAGGCAUGUUCCUCUAAACAUUUGCCAAAUCCCAUCUUAUACAUUUCUCUUGCACUCAUUCCAUGACCUGUUUUGAUAGUUGAUUUGACCUUCGAAUUGAAAAGGUUGUCAAGUUUUUUUUUUUUUUAGGACGGCUCCUUUACACCUUAAUGGUUCUUUUCCAAUGUGCAUGUGAUGCCUAUAUGGAAAAGGAUAUGGCCUGAAUUCUAUUAUCAAGCCAAAUUUUCCAGUCAGCAAAAUCAAACCAAAUCAUAUUUUGCAGUUUGAUUUGGUUUCAAAUCAUUGAUUUAGCGACACAAAAAUAAUAGCUUUCAAACAAGUGAAAAAAAUUAAUAUAUUAAUUUCAAAUUUCACUAAAACACUUGCAUUGAAACCUUUCAAACAUAAAUGUUGGCAUCAACAGAUCCUACCUCUACUUCUCUCCAAGCGUAUGUUACAUGGGCACUUGGAGCACAUGCAGACAUGCAAGAAUACUCUCAAAACACAAAGGGAUAUGAGAGGUCACGAUCAUAUGUAAUUUGAUGCUCAAGUCAAUCAGAAUAAUGAGAUUAAAGUGUAUUGGGUAUGGCAACGACAUGUAGAGGAGAGAAUAUAAUUUAGAUUCGGAUUCGCAUUUUGUGAGAGGGAAGUUUGAAUAUUUAUAAAUGAGAGAAAUGAAUGAAGGCUUCCUGGAUGCUUGACGCAUGACUUCAUCAAAUAGCUUAUUGGUCAAGUUCUAUCACGUCACAAUGUCGUGUCCUAGGCACCAAUAGGUCUAUGACCCCGUAUGCUAUCCUAUGUGGGUAAAAGUAAGUUUGCACUCAAUCACCAUUUUAAUCAUUUCUCACAUGACUCUAGAAGUAGAAUCGCCAUUUACAUAAAGUUUGAGCAUUUCCCUCCAUCGCUUCAGUCAUGAAGACCCAUGUUAUGUCAUAAGCAUUAUGAAUCCAAAGAUCACAUUGCAUUUAAUAAAUUGCAAAUUUCGAUUAUUCAUUUCUUGGAUUAUUCAAAUUCUCUUUGAAUUUAUUGGCAAUUGACAUCUAUAAAAAUAUAUGUUAAUUGAAAAUGUGGGGAAAAAAUAAAUAUAUUUUGAAAAAGUAAAAUAAAGAGCUUGUUUGAGUGUAUCGAAAGUCUUACUGUUUAAAUUUCAAAAUAUUUUCUAUUAUAUACAAGAUCCUUCUAUAAAUAAAUAAAUAAAUAAGACUAUUGAAGAGGUUCUUACAUGCAACAAACAUGACUCUUAAAACACAUUAAUAAACUGGGAUUAAUGUCCCAUAAACUUAACUAAAAAAUAUUAAGCCCCUGUUUGUUUCCCAU